rnacentral:rRNA from 1 species
AUGUCAGUUUUGUUAUUACAACCUUAUUUUUUUAGGUCAAAGACAAAAGGCUACGCGCAAAUUCUCAUUGGAUCUCGGUUGUUCUUAAUAGCGAUGGCUAUUCAUUUAAGUCUUCGGGUAGCACCAACAGAUCUUCAACAAGGUGGAAAUUCUCGUAUUUCGUAUGUACAUGUUCCUGCGGCUCAGAUGAGUAUAGUUAUUUAUAUCGUGACAGCUAUAAACAGUUCCUUGUUCCCAUUAACAAAACAUCCCCUUUUUCUUCGCUCUUCCGGAACCGGUACAGAAAUUGGUGCUUUUUCUACUUUGUUUACGUUAGUGACUGGGGGGUUUCGGGGAAGGCCUAUGUGGGGUACCUUUCGGGUGUGGGAUGCUCGUUUAACUUCUGUAUUCAUCUUGUUCCUUAUUUACCUGGGUGCACUGCGUUUUCAAAAGCUUCUUGUUGAACCGGCUCCUAUUUCAAUCCGUGCUGGACCGAUCGAUAUACCAAUAAUAAAGUCUCCAGUCAACUAGUGGAAUACAUCGCAUCAACCUGGGAGCAUUAGCCGAUCUGGUACAUGAAUACAUGUUCCUAUGCCCAUUCCAAUCUUGUCUAACUUUGCUAACUUCCCCUUCUCUACCCGUAUCUUGUUCGUUCUGGAAACAUGUCUUCCUAUUCCAUCUUUUCCCGAAUCUCCCUUAACAGAAGAAAUAGAAUAUCGAGAAGGAAUACCACUAAAAACCUAG